AUCUGCAAAGUCAUUUGUACUGAGAACUUCAGUGAUCAAAUAGGGUGAAGUCUUCCCCCCACUGCUAUUGCAGUUGAAGCCCAGACACCUCUGCCACCACCCACACAUGGAUUGCAGAUAAGGGAAACUGAGGUACAGAGGAGGGGAAGAGCCAUGAUUGACUUCAUGCAACUCAUCAGGGAGGGCACCCAGAUUUACACGUGGAUCUGUGUCACUACAAAGCAGUGCCCUUGACUUAACACUCCAUCACUUUCCAUACAAGCUUCAAACUGAACUCCACCUUCAUUAGCUUGGUGAGCGCAGACCGCUGAACUCUUCUAACAUCUGUCUUAGAGGUUAUGUGUUGGCUGCUGCGUUCAGAGCUAUCCUAAAAGUAACUGAAACAAGGGAUUUUUGACUCCAUGGCUAAACAGUUUCUGGGGAGCAGACCUUGAUUCUACCAUUACUUAGAAAACAAAUCAAAUUAGAGUCAGACUAGUGAUGUUGUCAGAACUUUUCAAACAUAAAGACCCAUGAAUGGACAUGUACACUUGGGAUCAAAAGCACUCUCCUCUUCCAAACAGCAGUCUACACUUGGCCUUUUGAGAGGCUGAGCUAUUGCCAAGGACUAUUUAGAUGGAAGAUUUGAUUGUUGGUCAAGGAGACACUGAAGAAGAGAUAAGAUGGUGUACUGGAAUGGAAGGAAGGCUCUGGACAUCAGAACUUUGGGCCACUGUACUGCUGUGUAAAUUUGCGAAACCUACUUAAUCCUUAUGGACUGUUUCCUCAUCUGGAAAAUGAGUUAAAUGAGAUCCAUUUUAUAAAAUUGUUGUAAUGAUUAUAUAAGUAAACACAUAGUAAUAUUAUUUGAUUUUAUUAUUAUUAUUAUGACUUGUCACUCAAAGCAUUUAGCUUUGGUGUCUCUAAUAUUCAGUACUCACAUUUAUGUUCAAAUUUGGAUGCUAGGUAGAAAUGAAGACUUUGUAUCUGCCACCAGAGAAGGCUAUUUAUUAUUUGUCAUUGCCUGUCACGAACUCACAAAGAUAGUAUUUGCCUAUCCAAAGGUAUCUAAUUCCUCAGUUUCUUAUGUGACUAUAAAGGGGCCUACUUUGAUCUUACCAUGAACUCAAAUCCUUUCGAAAUUUCAAUUUGUC
rnacentral:lncRNA from 10 species